rnacentral:lncRNA from 1 species
UCGCCCAUCCCACAUUUUAGAUAAUUUUUUCUUCUAAAAACUUCAUUGUUUAAGCGCUCAUGUUUGGAUCUGCAAUCUAUUUUGGAUGAAUUCUUGUGUAUAACGUGCAGUAGGAAUAAAGGCUCAUGUCUUUCCAUACGGAUAGCAGUUUUAUUCACAGACACAGGUGGUGGCCAGACCUGGCACACGGAUGCAGCUGACCCUGGAAGCUGAAGGACAAUGAAACCCAUCUGAUUAAGAUGCUCAACUUUUCUGAAGAAAAAGCUGACACCAAGACCUGCCUAAGGUCACACCAUCAUGAGUGGCUGAGUUGGGCUGUGAUGAGCCACCUGGCUGGAGAGCUCGUGCCCUGGUUACACGACUGCCAGUGAGAUGCCUAUGGACUCAUGCAUGUAGAGGUGUGUACCCAGACAGCUCAGAGUGAGAUGCCUGCAGGCCCAGCAUGCAGAGGUGUGUACUCAGUGCUGUGUGAGAUGCCUGUGGGCCCAGGCACGGAGGGGUGCAUGCAUGCCUAGAAAGCAAAAGGCUGUGCAGA